rnacentral:tRNA from 1 species
UGAAAUGUAGCUCAGUGGUAGAGCAACAUCCGCAUAGGGUGCGUGUCGGCGGUUCGAUUCCGCCUAUUUCAUUA